rnacentral:rRNA from 1 species
GAUGAACGCUAGCGGCAGGCCUAACACAUGCAAGUCGAGGGGCAGCACAGAAACAGCAAUGUUUUGGUGGCGAACGGCGGACGGGUGCGUAACGCGUAUGCAACCUACCUUUAACAGGGGGAUAACGGAGAGAAAUUUCCACUAAUACCCCAUAACAUCGAUCAAGGAAACUUGAUUGGUUGAAAACUCCGGUGGUUAAAGAUGGGCAUGCGUUGUAUUAGGUAGUUGGUGAGGUAAUGGCUCACCAGGACUACGAUACAUAGGGGGACUGAGAGGUUAGCCCCCCGCACUGGUACUGAGACACGGACCAGACUCCUACGGGAGGCAGCAGUGAGGAAUAUUGGUCAAUGGGGGCAACCCUGAACCAGCCAUGCCACGUGCAGGAAGACGGCUCUAUGAGUUGUAAACUGCUUUUAAACAGGGAUAAAGCACAGUAUGUAUACUGUGUUGAAGGUACUGUAAGAAUAAGGAUCGGCUAACUCCGUGCCAGCCGCCGCGGUAA